GCCCGAAAGAAGGACCCUCCCUCCCCGCCGCGGCACGCGCGCUGGAAGGCGCGGGGGCGACGGGGCGGCAGGAGGGUCAGAUCCCGCCAGCGAGCGCGCUUCCCCCCCUCCCCCCGGGAGGCCUAGAGACCCCGGGGUGCCGAGGGCGGCCCGGGCCGGGCGGCCCUUCCCCCGCAGGGAGCCCCCGCCGCCCGCCCCUGGCAGCUCUGGCGGGCAUGGGCGAGGGGAGGAGGGCCUUGUCGUCUCGGGGCGGGCAGGAGCACAAGGGACCGGCACCCCAAGGGGCAGAGGGGAAUAAAAACCUCCCUCACAUCCAGCUCAGCCGCGGGUCCUGCUAUUCCCCCUACAAAUUCAGGGGAAAGUUACCUCCUGAAGGCUAAAAACCUAACACGGGCGUUCCUGUUUCUUGAAGGCUGUUCCUGUGUCGACACAUGAAUCUGCACGUGCCAAGAAGAAUUUUGUGCUAAUUUCCUGGAAACGCUGUCAUCUCUUAUGUUUACUGCAGCUACUCAACUGUUCUCCACCACCAGCCUGAGCAAUUCUGAAGGCUUUGCUACCUGCACCCCCAGCCACUGUCCAGCUUCACGGAAACGAUCGCAGCAGCCUGACUCCUUUUACCAGAGCCUAGGACUGUGAAUCGGUGAUCACGUAUGUGGUCAGCCUUCUCACUGCAAGCAAGAAGACAGCCCAAUGAGAGGUGGAGUUUGGAUCACAAAACAAAACCCAGAAACUAAUACUAAAUAUGGGUUUCUGUUCUAAAGUGGAAUAUAACAGUCUGCUGCUGCAUUAUUUUGUCUAAGUUGGUUAUAGCCAGGCAUACAUCUGUAUUGGCUGAAACUAGCUACAAGAAAGGAUGGUCUAGCAACCAUAACGCGCAUCUCUCUCUCCUUCUUCAAGCUAGAUAGGGGCAGAGGAGUCAAGUAAAAUCAAUUUUAUGGCUACUCUAUACUCCCACAGUGGUGGAACAGAGGCUGUUUGGACUUACUUUGUGCAGCAGGCAGAGAGUCUCAGGAUUAUUUUGCUCCCUUUACUUUUCUGGGAUGUUCUGAGACAAAAAUAAACCAAGACUGUAUGACAUCAAAUGCCACAUAAAAACCUGUCUCAAGCAAUUUCUCUUGUGCUUUACAUUAAAGAAAUACAGUUUUAUCAGGCUUUGGGAUGUACUAGUUUGGUGGAUGGUUGUGGGUUUGUUUUUUCAAGAGACUUCUGUAAUCAUCACUUACUUUCACUUGCUAUUUGUGGAGAACAGCCCUAUUUCUGGAAACAGUUUGGGGUUCACCAGGCUAAAAAAAUAAUCUGUCUUCACCCACUUUUCCUACUAUCUGUUUCCAUGGGCAAAAUUUAAAAUCUUUGUGCAGCUUCCCUAAGAAGUAGGCAUUUAUCUCCACCUUUGGAAAGAAUUAAGAAAAGGCAGAGACCUUAUAUCUUAAUCUAUUACUUGUACUUUUUACCACGAAGACACAAAUGCAUUUGGGAAAAAAAAAAAACACUACAACAGAACGGUUGUUGCAUUUCUUCCCUGUUCACAUGCUAUUUAAAAAUCUAAAACAAUCAGGCAAACAAUGCCAUCAAAAGCUUUUCUGUUGAUUAGUUAAAACUUAAGAGACAACAUUCCAGGAAGCUAGAAGCAAGAUUUACCACCCCAAGAGACUACCCCAGGAAAAAAAUAUAAAAUUGCUGUAUUUUGUCUAAAACAUUGCUUUUGCUUAAUAAGUUUUCUGCCAGUUGUGAACAUUCGAAGGCUGCUUCUUCUUUCUAAAUACAGCCAGAUGUUAAAAGAAACUGAAAGGAGUAUUAAAAAAAAAAACACCCAGAGUUACAAUAAACUUAACAGAAUGCCAAAA